AUUGAACGCUGGCGGCAGGCUUAACACAUGCAAGUCGAGCGGUAACAGAGAGAAGCUUGCUUCUCUGCUGACGAGCGGCGGACGGGUGAGUAAUGCCUAGGAAUCUGCCUAGUAGUGGGGGAUAACUUGCCGAAAGGUAAGCUAAUACCGCAUACGUCCUACGGGAGAAAGGAGGGGACCUUCGGGCCUUUCGCUAUUAGAUGAGCCUAGGUCGGAUUAGUUAGUUGGUGAGGUAAUGGCUCACCAAGACCGCGAUCCGUAACUGGUCUGAGAGGAUGAUCAGUGACACUGGAACUGAGACACGGUCCAGACGCCUACGGGAGGCAGCAGUGGGGAAUAUUGGACAAUGGGGGGAACCCUGAUCCAGCCAUGCCGCGUGUGUGAAGAAGGUCUUAGGAUUGUAAAGCACUUUAAGUUGGGAGGAAGAGCAGUUAACUAAUAUUUGACUGUUUUGACGUUACCGACAGAAUAAGCACCGGCUAACUUCGUGCCAGCAGCCGCGGUAA
rnacentral:rRNA from 1 species